CCGCCCCCAAGCCUGGGCAUAAGAGGCUCAGACUGUGCAGAAGGACCAAGAGCAAACCUCAAAGCCCCUCAUGUCCCUGCCCCGGUCACAGACACUGGCCUUUCCUAGGUGCUCAUGUGUGUAGCUCACGGCGUCACCGUAAGGCACUCGGCUCCUCGGACCCACCCCGUGUGGAAGGGCAUAGCUGGGACCACACACCAACCUUCCAAGGACCCACUGGGAGCCCUACUCACAUGGACUGUGGCCAGAGCCCUGGCCAAAGGGUGCUCAGUGGGGAAUACGCUCACUUCAUCUUGGAAGAUUCAGCCAACUCUCCACCAGAAAGUCAUCAUCAACGGCCCCUACCCUCGACCAUGGAUGAGAGCAAAUGCUCCCUGGGCCCCAGCCAGAUCUGGGUCCUUUGACCAUUCCGACAGCAGUGAUCGAGGAACAGAAAUGCCCAGUGUCUCCCUGACUGGCUGGGGCGUCAUCCAGACCAGGCCUCCUGGCUGCAGCCCCUCUCCCAGGCUGUCCUCUGCACAAGGUUCUGUAGCAGUUGCAGGCGGAGGCAGGACAGCCAUCCUCAAGCUGUGACUCGCGCUACGAACACUCUCUCACACCCAGGCCUUGCUGUGUCCAUGGUCUCCCUGGGCAGAUCUUGGCCAAGGGUGUGCUUCAGGUGGCCGCAUCUGUGUCCGGCCGAGGCCUGCCCGCCCGGUCCGUUUUGUUUUCUGUGAUUUAUCGUGAGGCUUGGUUGUGUUGGUGAUGGGGAAAUACAGUUUUCUAUUCCUUCUGGAAAUUACUUAUGUAUUUGGUGCAAGGUACAGAUAUCUCCUUAUGUUUUUCAAAAGUUGACCUUCGCAUUGCUCAGAGGGAGUGUAAACCAACCCAGCACUCCCGUCCACCUUCACGUGCCUCACAGGGAGUGUAAACCAACCCAGCACUCCCCGUCCACCUCGGCAUUGUUCACAGGGAGUGUAAACCAAUCCAGCACUCCCCAUCCACCUUCACAUUGCUCAGAGGGCGUGUAAACCAACCCAGCACUCCCCGUCCACCUUCGCGUGGCUCACAGGGCGCGUAAACCAAUCCAGCACUCCCCGUCCACCUUCGCAUUGCUCACAGGGCGCGUAAACCAACCCAGCACUCCCCGUCCACCUUCACAUUGCUCACAGGGCGUGUAAACCAAUCCAGCACUCCCCGUCCACCUUCAUAUUGCUCACAGGGAGUGUAAACCAACCCAGCACUCCCCGUCCAC
rnacentral:lncRNA from 1 species